GUUGCAUUCGAUUAGGAAUCCUUCAAUGUGGGAUAUGGGAUCGGACUUGAAGAUUGUUGCCGUUGGGUUGCUGCCUAAGUUUCUGACAUCGAUCUCUCCUUCCUGGAUAAGGAUGAGGAUGAAGAUGAUGAUGAGGAUAUGGAGGAGGCAGCUCCUCCUACUUCCAUGGUCGGUCCAUUGGGAGCAUCUCUGGGUCCCCUAGAAGCCGCGCCUAAUCCCCCCGAUCUUUUGGACGAGAUCGAAAAAUGAAGCCUGUAC
rnacentral:lncRNA from 1 species